AUUGAACGCUGGCGGCAGGCUUAACACAUGCAAGUCGAGCGGAGAUGAGGUGCUUGCACCUUAUCUUAGCGGCGGACGGGUGAGUAAUGCUUAGGAAUCUGCCUAUUAGUGGGGGACAACAUUCCGAAAGGAAUGCUAAUGCCGCAUACGCCCUACGGGGGAAAGCAGGGGAUCUUCGGACCUUGCGCUAAUAGAUGAGCCUAAGUCGGAUUAGCUAGUUGGUGGGGUAAAGGCCUACCAAGGCGACGUUCUGUAGCGGGUCUGAGAGGAUGAUCCGCCACACUGGGACUGAGACACGGCCCAGACUCCUACGGGAGGCAGCAGUGGGGAAUAUUGGACAAUGGGGGGAACCCUGAUCCAGCCAUGCCGCGUGUGUGAAGAAGGCCUUAUGGUUGUAAAGCACUUUAAGCGAGGAGGAGGCUACUGAGACUAAUACUCUUGGAUAGUGGACGUUACUCGCAGAAUAAGCACCGGCUAACUCUGUGCCAGCCGCCGCCGUAAGAC
rnacentral:rRNA from 1 species